GUGCUUACACGGGGGAAAGCAAAAGCAAAUUACACGAGGACUCUACGACGGGAGCGUCCGCCCGCGGUAGGCGGGAUGCCCAAAGCCGUGCGUCUUCUCUGCACGAACGGAGGAUGUUGUUUAGGCACGGUUGUUGCUCGUUGAAGACGACGCCAUUUCUGUGUUUCAAGAGGUGCCAACAACAGAGGAAGGUGGAGACGUCUCGGUGCUUCCGCGGGAGGCCGCCGGGCAGGGGCGCGCGCCACAGCUCUCGGACCGAGCUCUGUUCUGCCUGGGUCAUUUCUUUUUUUCGAACUAAUGGCAGGAGCGCUGCCUUUCAUUUAAGAGGAAAGAGUUUAGAAAGUACGAUUACAAUUUUAGCGAUGCCUGGGUCAUUUCGACAUGGGCCCAGAAAGCUGAAGACGCUGGACAGGCGAAGAUGAUGUGAUCCGCCGUUUCGUCGGGGUGGCCGCACAGCUCGCACGCAGCAUCUUGAAUGAUGUUCUUCCUCCUCAGCUUGUGGCGGGAUUGUAUCCGGUCUUGGACGAGGAGCCAGAUGAAGAACUGGACGCGCGGUGUUGCUCUGUUCUUCCACACAUAGGAUGCGAAGGCGCAUGGCUCCGGUGCGGCGGCGGCCAUCAUUGUACGGUACAGGAGCGAGGUGUUCAGCUGCCCCCGCGUCCCUUGUAGCGGGCAGCUGCGGACGUCGUCCCCGUCGCUUAGUUGAUCUUCGGCCAGCAGUUCAUGCAGCUUCUCCUUUUCCGCCGCUCUGGCGCGUGUGAGCCUUGGUUGGAGGUAGCCGUCGAUGCCCGCUUGGAGCACCGCUCGCACCGAAACGUCGCCACGGCUGGCGUGGCUAUAGAGCUCCGGCAGCCUUUCAGACAGGGGUCCUGUAGGGAGCCAGGAGUCGUCCCAGAACGACGUGCUAGCACCAUCCCGGACCUGCACCGUGGUGAUGCUGCGGUACGUCGGCAGGAGCUCUCGCAGUGAGUUCCAGUGGCUCCCCACGACGUCGCCCUCCAGCGUGACGAGGUUGACGUGCCGCCGCACCCAACGCGCCCAGGCGGAGCCCGACGGGUGGAGCAGCCGAUGCAGCAGCUUCAGGAGGAGGCACUGGUUUUGGAGUCCCAAAUGCUUCAAUCCAAGUCCGCCGAGCUCCUUUGGAACGCAGACGUGCUCCCAGGCGACGAGACAUUGGGCUCCGUU
rnacentral:lncRNA from 1 species